UAUUACUACCAAAAAAAUUAUAAAUCUAACCUUUUACUCCAUACGGAAAUCCCAGAUAGCCAGACAAUGAAAAUAUAAAUAUAAAUAAAUAAAUAUAAAAAUGAUUGAGCAUGGGGACUGUAGUGUACACCAUAAGUUUGAAAACAUUUAGCUUAAAUGUUUAAUAUGAAUAAACAGUGCUCAUAAACGGCUGCUGAGGUAGUAUUCUCAAUUGAAGCCAGUUGAGGCUUGGACCUGGAAACAGCGCUUCUUACGUCACCACUUAAUAACCGAAUCCUCCACAUUAGAAGCUACCAAUUACAACAUAUCAUCAGCAAAAUCCUCUUUGGAAACCCCAAAAAUGGACCAACUUGCUCACACCUGAUGAGGGGCGCUGGUCCUUGAGCUGAUUAGGACACGUCUUCUCCGCCACAUAACUCCAGUGUUUUUUUUUCUCCGAGGUUCCUGAGAGGAAGAAAACACAAGGGCAACACAAGGAGCAGGGUUGCUAUCUUUAACGAAAGCGAUCCGCGAGUGCAGCAAUGUGAGACUCAUGUUCUCUCAAUAACAGUAGCUCAUCUCAGUGAGCGCAGUCUAUGCCUGGGUUUGCCAAGUAGACGGCAUACUCAGAGUGCUCAUCCAAGGUGUGCAGGAAUGCCCUGCAUGUGCCACAUUUGCAAACGACGCUAGAAAUAUGCUACACAAAUAUUAACAAAUCAGGCUUCAUUAUUUGGAGAAAACAGAUUUCCCUAUAGCAUGGAAAAUGCAAUGUGAGUAAACUUUACCAAAAGUGAACCUUGUAGAUGCACCAGAUUUCAUCACAUUCAAAACAGCCCAUCCUAUAAAGAAAUGUCAUUGGUUCAACUUCAGACAGGUUCUGAUUGGCUGUAAUUGUGUUGGUCUUUGCAGAUGGUUAAAAAACAGAAAUUGUGCACACAAUGCUCAGAUGAAUCAUGAUGACCAAGCUUGUGAUGUUGAAAUGACUGAUCCUGUGUAUGAGAAUGUAACUGAUGCUCAACAAGGCUCUAAUACCUGUAAACCUGAACCGAACUCUUCUGUGUAUGAAAAUAUUCCAAUGAAGAAGAUGAAGUAG
rnacentral:lncRNA from 1 species